rnacentral:rRNA from 1 species
GACGAACGCUGGCGGCGUGCUUAACACAUGCAAGUCGAACGGAAAGGCCCUGCUUUUGUGGGGUGCUCGAGUGGCGAACGGGUGAGUAACACGUGAGUAACCUGCCCUUGACUUUGGGAUAACUUCAGGAAACUGGGGCUAAUACCGGAUAGGAGCUCCUGCGGCAUGGUGGGGGUUGGAAAGUUUCGGCGGGUGGGGAUGGACUCGCGGCUUAUCAGCUUGUUGGUGGGGUAGUGGCUUACCAAGGCUGUGACGGGUAGCCGGCCUGAGAGGGUGACCGGCCACAUUGGGACUGAGAGACGGCCCAGACUCCUACGGGAGGCAGCAGUGGGGAAUAUUGCACAAUGGGCGGAAGCCUGAUGCAGCAACGCCGCGUGCGGGAUGACGGCCUUCGGGUUGUAAACCGCUUUCGCCUGUGACGAAGCGUGAGUGACGGUAAUGGGUAAAGAAGCACCGGCUAACUACGUG